rnacentral:lncRNA from 1 species
AUGGCUCCGGCGCGGCCCCGUCCCGGCGUGUGCCGCAGCCCCCGCCCCGCGCCCCCAGCCCGGCUCUGCCCUGCCCUGCCCUGCCCCCGCCUCGCCAUCCCCGCGGCUCCGCUCCGCGCCGGCUCCUGCGAGCAAAGUUUGCAGCGCAGCCCCGCUGGGGGUGCCCCCCCCUCCGUGCGGCGGGGCUGCACCGCCUGGGGGGGGGACGGGGACACCGGGGGGGGCCGGCUGCCGGCUCGGCUCGGCCUGGCCUCCCCUCCCCUCCGUGCCCCCGGCCCCGCCGCCAGGCCGCGGAGGGCAGCGGGGGCACGGCCAGGGCAGGGCCGGUUCGGCUCCGCCGCGCACCCCCGGCUCGCCCCGAUCCGACCCGACCCGGCCCGGCUCGGCUCGGGGGCGGUCACGCCGGGCUCGCCCCGGUCAUUGUGUGCAGGAGGCUGCGGCCGCCCCCCCGCAGCCGCCGGUGGCACGGCCCCGCCGCUUUGUAAGGCGCCGCUUUGUGCCUCCGAGCCCCCCCCCCCCGGCCCCCGCUCACCUUCCCCGCGGGCGGCGGGGCCGCUCCAUGGGGCGGCGGGGGCAGAGCCUGGGGCAGAGCCCGCGGCGCUGCCCGGCGGGGCUGGGGCCGAGGCCGGGAGCGGGGCCGGGCGCGGUGCAGUGAGCGGGGCUGCCACUGGGGUCAGGGAGCAGGCACCAGGAAACACGGCGGCCACGGAGCGCUGCUCGCACGCACACACACACACACACACACACACACGACGCGGCUCCUCCCGCCGCCUUGCACUUCACCCCCCCGGGCAGGGAGGCAGGCAGGCAGGGAGGAAUCGCUGCUGCAUUUCGUCUCCCAAGUGCGGCAGAGCCUCCCCCCGCCCAGCCCGGCCGCACAGGCCGCCCCGAGCAGCGGCCGGGCGCGGAGCCGCAGCCCCGGGGCUCGACCCCAGCCUCAGCCCGGGCAGAGGGGGCCGGGGGGCGAUGUGUAGGGGUGAGGGGAGCGGCCCCACAGCCCCCGCGGGGCUCCAGGCGGGCAGCGCCUCCCCGCAGCCGGCUCCUGCGGUGGCUGAGCCAACCCCCGCCGGGAGGGAAAAAGCAGCGCACAGCAGCGGUACCCGGAGUACCCUUUGGGAUGAGGCCCAGCUUGAGCACAGCUCCCCAGAGGCAUGGCUGAAGCCUGUGGUGGGAGGAGAAGUUUCAGGUGGAGCCCUCCCUUUGCUGCUUCCCAGCACACUCCUCUUUAGCAUCCCAGAGCUCUGUAUGGUGUCUGCUUUCAGUCCCAAACAAGACACUGAGCUCUCCACCACGAGUUUAGUAACAGACCCGAGAUCUGCAGGCCAUACUGCACCCUCCUCACGUCUGCGUGCAUCGUUCACUGGAGAUGGGGAGAACCAGGAAAGAGAAGAGAGAGGAGACUGCAAGAACCCUCUCUUUAGCUGAUGCCAUUACAACUUGGAAGCUCACCAGCAGGUGAAGUCAGCUAACAAGGACAAGAGAUCUUUCACAAUGAGCCUGCAGCACGUUACUGGAGGAAACGUGUGCCUGCGUGGCAGUGAAGCCACCUGUUAGUCCAAGGGAUGGACUUCACAAAGCGUUUCUGAAUCAGUAACUGGAAAAUUAAUAUGACUGUGAUGCUGUGAAGCAAAACUUACAAUACAAAUAGAGGGUUUGAUUUUUUUGCAGUGAGCUGAAAAAUAAAAUUAAAUCUAGGAUUUUCUUUUUUAUUACUUCUACAAGCCUUACAGAGACUACAAAUAACAGAGCUAUAGUAGCUACAAUUAAGUCCUAAGGCCCUGGAGGAAAAAGGAGCAAUUUUUUGUGUGCUGAAGCAGCCCCAAUAUUCAACCAAAGCAGGUAAAAGAUUUGAUUUCUCUCAAGAUUUCUCUCAGAGCAAGUGACCUCUGUAUGCAGCCAAGCACCAACCAUACGUUAGCCCUCCUAAUGCAAACAAGUUGGUUAUUUAUCUACUCUACUGAAUACUUGAGCUUGCACAGUAAAAUAACAAGGGGGGAAAAUGUCAAGUAUGAUUAAAA